UACGGGGGGGGCAAGCGUUGUUCGGAAUUACUGGGCGUAAAGGGCUCGUAGGUGGCCAACUAAGUCAGACGUGAAAUCCCUCGGCUUAACCGGGGAACUGCGUCUGAUACUGGAUGGCUUGAGUUCGGGAGAGGGAUGCGGAAUUCCAGGUGUAGCGGUGAAAUGCGUAGAUAUCUGGAGGAACACCGGUGGCGAAGGCGGCAUCCUGGACCGACACUGACACUGAGGAGCGAAAGCCAGGGGAGCGAAACGGG
rnacentral:rRNA from 1 species